CCUACGGGAGGCAGCAGUGAGGAAUAUUGGUCAAUGGUCGGGAGACUGAACCAGCCAAGCCGCGUGAGGGAUGAAGGUACAGAGUAUCGUAAACCUCUUUUGUCAGGGAACAAAGGCGGGGACGUGUCCCCGGAUGAGUGUACCUGAAGAAAAAGCAUCGGCUAACUCCGUGCCAGCAGCCGCGGUAAUACGGAGGAUGCGAGCGUUAUCCGGAUUUAUUGGGUUUAAAGGGGGCGCAGGCGGGCUGUUAAGGCAGCCGUCAAAGCCCGGGGCCCAACCCCGGCCCCGCGUUGGAAACUGGCAGUCUUGAGUUGGAGAGAAGUAGGCGGAAUGCGUGGUGUAGCGGUGAAAUGCUUAGAUAUCGCGCAGAACUCCGAUUGCGAAGGCAGCAUGCCGGAUCCACACUGACGCUGAGGCACGAAAGCGUGGGUAUCGAACAGGAUUAGAUACCCCAGUAGUC
rnacentral:rRNA from 1 species